rnacentral:rRNA from 1 species
GAUGAACGCUGGCGGCGUGCUUAACACAUGCAAGUCGAACGAUGAAGCCCAGCUUGCUGGGUGGAUUAGUGGCGAACGGGUGAGUAACACGUGAGUAACCUGCCCUUGACUCUGGGAUAAGCGCUGGAAACGGCGUCUAAUACCGGAUACGAGCUUCCACCGCAUGGUGAGUUGCUGGAAAGAAUUUCGGUCAAGGAUGGACUCUCGGCCUAUCAGGUAGUUGGUGAGGUAACGGCUCACCAAGCCGACGACGGGUAGCCGGCCUGAGAGGGUGACCGGCCACACUGGGACUGAGACACGGCCCAGACUCCUACGGGAGGCAGCAGUGGGGAAUAUUGCACAAUGGGCGCAAGCCUGAUGCAGCAACGCCGCGUGAGGGACGAAGGCCUUCGGGUCGUAAACCUCUUUUAGCAGGGAAGAAGCGAAAGUGACGGUACCUGCAGAAAAAGCACCGGCUAACUACGUG